UACAGCUCCACCACAUUCUGGCCUCAUUCUGGGCCCUGUGAUGGCAGCUCUAUCUAGAGCUCUAUUACUGAUGUAGGGGUCAUUUAGGAAUCAGUUGUCUGUGCACAAUUAAACAUGGCCUAGUGAGACAGCAGGUCAAACUCAACCAAAGUAGGAGGAAGGAUAAAGAUGAAAAGACUUGGAAUGUGAUGGAAAAGCCUCAGAGGGAUUCAUGCAAAUAAGCUGGAAAAAGAUGAGAAAGUAGAGAAUGAAGGAGCCAAAGCUGCUAGCUUGAGUGUGUGCUGCUCAAGUUCAUAGGCGAUAGCAUCCAGCCCACCUCCCAGCUCCCAGAUGUGCGCUGGCAUCCACCUCUGGGAUGGUGUACCAUCUCAGGCACACGCACGUACGCAUCCCGACCCUAAGCCCACAGCAGCCCUGGUGUUGUAAAAUGAGAGUGAGUUUCCCAAGUUCACCCAGGCCCCUGGGUUGGCAUGGCAACCAGGCAACCUGUUCCCGAGCCGGCGGCUGCUUCUCCUGCCUCGCCUCGCCCGCCUCCC